UACAGGGGGGGCAAGCGUUGUUCGGAAUUACUGGGCGUAAAGGGCUCGUAGGUGGCCAACUAAGUCAGACGUGAAAUCCCUCAGCUUAACUGGGGAAUUGCGUCUGAUACUGGAUGGCUUGAGUUUGGGAGAGGGAUGCGGAAUUCCAGGUGUAGCGGUGAAAUGCGUAGAUAUCUGGAGGAACACCGGUGGCGAAGGCGGCAUCCUGGACCAAUACUGACACUGAGGAGCGAAAGCCAGGGGAGCAAACGGG
rnacentral:rRNA from 1 species